GCCUUUGUAGCUCAGUUGGUUAGAGCACUGCACCGGAAUCGCAGGGCCGUAGGUUCAAUUCCUACCAGAGGAC